GGGGAUUUAGCUCAGCGGCAUAAGCGCCUGCCUUGCAAGCAGGCUGUCGUGAGUUCAAUCCCUG
rfam:Cavia porcellus supercont2_0 genomic scaffold, whole genome shotgun sequence.